GCCGAGACCGAAAGGAAAUGCCUACGCGCGGGAUGUGGAGGCCAUAUUGAUAUUAAUAAUGCUGCUUCGAUGAAGCUUUGCCUCUCCCGCGCUCGCGUGCUUCCAGCCCCCUUCACCACCGCUCGCUCCCCCGCCGGCGCUCUCCACCAUCACCGCCAGUCAGUCUCCAGCCGGCGAUAUCUCCCAUGCCCCUCGGCUAGGGCGAGGAGGCUGCUCCGGAAGGAGAUGGGUCGGGGGAACUGUGACCCUAGGCAGCGAUUAUUUGGCGGGCUUUUUUUAACCUUCCUGACCCGUUCAUCCAUCCACAGUGAAUGGCAAUUUGGCGAGCGAGGGUCUUAAUCGAGGAGUCUCGAUUCUCUCAAGCUGCAUUAUCUAAGGGUUUUGGAUGUCGUUCCUUCCACUCUACCAUGGGGUUUGAAGGAAAUUGGCAAGAUUCAGUGUGGAUGCCAUUUGAGAGGAAAACUCAUCAUUUGACUUGAAAAGGCUUCCUUUGUUUAUCAUUCUCAUACAUUCACAAGUCAAUGGCUCCAUCAUUGAAUCUUGGAUAAGGAACAGUUGGUGUCAAGAUCCAUCAAAUGCAAUGCGAGGUUCAUUCAAAAGCCACUAACUGAAGAAGCUAUUGCAGCUGCAAGGCGCAUGUAUCUUGAGAAUUGGAAUUCAUUUUCUAUGUUACACUUUAUUACUGCUCUAUUUAAAAUUUAAUGCCAUUCCUACCUGCUUGAGCAGUGAUACUCUAUCUAGUCCAAAGCACUUGUUGCUUUUCACUUUGCACUGAUUUAGAGUUGACACUUGGCAGUUGGACAAGGUCAAUGGCAUGGUGGAUUUUAGGCUUUUAGCAAACAAUGGAGAUCUUCAUCCAACGGUAGUUUUAGGCAUUGUGUGGAACCAAGUGAAUCAGUGAAGAAAACGAAGCUACAGCAGUGUCACCGGAUAUGCAUUGGAGCUACAGCGGUGAAGGUGUGACCGGUUGGCUACAACGGUGGAAGGCGUCACCGCCAUAGAUUGGCGACCUAAAGAUCGUCAACGGUGACUUUUUAGGCCGUACAGUAUAUGGCAUAUUCAUAUACCGGCGACUAUAUCGGUGAUAUUAACUGAGAAAAUAUUCUGCUUGAUGAAGAAGGGUCGGCAGUACGGCCGUAGCCACUUAGAUGGAAUAUGAUCAGUAGCACCCGUUUAAGAUGCCAUAAGCAAAGGUGUCCAAGUCCCAUGUUUGAAGUCUUUGAUUUUUAUUGUGCUAGCAAGGGCUACAGCCGGACUUAAUUAAGAUGUUCAAGUUCAAGAUGUCCACAUUUAAUUUGAUACGCUGUGCUUUCUUAUUUAGUUCGGCAAAAAUAAGCUCUACCUCAGCUCGUUAAUAAUACUAAUAAAUUUUUGAAUGGAAAUUA